UAACCUGUCUGGUUGUUCAGGAUGCUAAGCUUGAAGGGCUACUCACAAGCUGAAAAUGGCCACAAGCCAACUGUGAGGGAGGACUCACCAUCCUAGAGAAAUCCAAGUCUCUCUGGCCAGGACACCUGGCAGAAGGAAAACAGCAGGUGCAAACACUCAGCAACCUCUGCCCUGAGAACAGUGGCACACGUGGGCAAAGGCGUGAGGGAGAGAGGAAUGGCCUGACAGGAAGGACAUUGGUCUCAUUGAUCUCUUUGGAGACCAGACUGUUGAGGCAACAGGCCCUCUAAAGGUUGUCAACCUGACUGCGUCUGGAAUAAGCACAAGGUGCUCAGCCCUCCUGUGAGGGUUUUCCUGAGUGUUGAAGCAGGCAGACACACUCUAAGCGAGAGCAGCACCUUCCUUUCGCAGCUGGGGAACAGGACUUGGGAGAAGGAAACUGUUCGCCCUCACUCUCAAUGGCAAGUUCACCUCUCCUAUUGCCGCGAUGUUCUCUCCAAUAUUAGAAACAAGUUCUUUGGUGUUUCAGCGUAGACUGAAGUGCAGCAGCUCUGCAGGACUCCUCCAGGCUUUCAGGCCGGAGUGGGACAGCUGAGAUGUCCAGCCUCACGGAGUGAGCAACUGCCAGUUCUCAGCCUCUCCAGCGUAAGGUCACGAAGGGAAGCCUCUCUGCUCCAUCAUAGACUCCCCCAAGACAACCCAGCAGCUGACCACGGAUGAAGAUCCCAAAACAAAUAAAAUGUUUUCUCUGUGUCUGCCAA